rnacentral:lncRNA from 1 species
UUCAAGUGACAUCGUUUGCACCUAACUAAUUAGUUGGGCUUCGACAAAAAAAGUAAUUAUUUCAGCUUGGAAUUAACGUUGGGCUUGGAGUUGUGUAGGCUUGCAGUUGAAGUUAGAGUUAGGCUUGGAGAAGGAUUCCGUUGGGAGAAGAAGUUGGAAUUGGCCUAAUCUUAUAUAAAUAAAUAAUUAAAUAAAAUAAAAAAUAUUUAUAUUUAAGCCGGUCUGGUUUUUACUGAUAGAAAAUUGGAACCGAAAGCCAUUUGAAUCGGUCUGGUUCAUUUUUUUUUUCCGAUUUUUACUUUUUUUGCCAAUGUGGUUUCUUUUCGAUUUUUUCCUGGUUGGUUCUACUCGGUUUUCCGAUUUGGAUUCCCACUCUUAACAAAAUUUUGUUUUGUUUUUUUUGUAAGAACCUUUUUUAUUGAGAUGGACAAUAACAUACUAAACUCACAUACAUUACACGAUUCUUAGGACUAAAACUCAAAACUUUUCCUCGAAGAAUAAUUGCUCUAAACCACUAUACUAGUGGUUAAUUUUGAUAAUGAAGGGAUGUUGUGUACUAUGAAUAGCCUGACAUUGGAUUUUUUUCGUUUUAUUUUGAUGGUAGAGAGAGAACCUAAACCCGUUUUAUUUUGAUUAGGGUUGUGCUUGUGAUUCCCUAUCACAAGCCAAAAGAGUAGAGAGAAAGAAAGAAAAAAACAUUGAACCAACAAUUUUUUCAAAUACGUUUUUGAAAUAAACAAAAUUACAACCAAGAAAUUCAUCAGAAUAAACAUACCACCUCUUAUAUUCGUGCUUAUUUCAGUGGCCAAUUCUUUUUUUCUUUUUACCCAAUUCACCAUUAAUUAGUUUUCGUUCCAUUAACACUCUGGAUAUCGUCUCUACAACAUAACCGAAGCUCCGCUUUUGAAGUAAUGGAUUGAUGAGAUGCAAACCAAGUCAGGCAAUUUUAACGUACACCAACAGAAUCUUAGAGGAAUAAGAACUUAAUUUGUUGUAUUUUUUCUUUUUUCUUGUUCUUUUUGCGGGACAAAUAAGGAUGCACAUCGUCUUUUCUACAUGCCAUCCCAUUUAAAUAUCAUCUAAUGACUGAAACACUAACACCAAAUUUUAUUUUUUGGUUGUUAGGUUUAAUGGUCUCUGAACUUUGACCCGAUUAUUAUUUUGGUUCCUCAAUUUUCAAAAUCGUUCCCGUGGUCCUUUAACUUCAGUUUCGUUAGGACAAAUAGUCCUGCCGUCAAUUUUGUUAUCUUUUCCGUUAAAUGCAGGAGAAAAUUAUCUUUUUAUUUUAUUUUUAGUUUUCACCAUUUGAAUAUUUCUUUCACCUAAAAAAUCUUCCUAUCCUUGCCAUAGUAACCAC